CCACCCCGUGGCGCCCAGCCCAGCCCCUCAGCGCCUCUGGUGGUGGCUCUGUGGGAGUUGGCAGGGCGCUGGAGGGGAGGAGGAGCUGGCAGCCAAGGAGAGGUUGAGCCCGGGAGAAGGGGGCUUGGAGCAAGUCUUUUGUCUCUGUUUCUCGCUAUGCAAACCUAUUUUAAUUGGCAAGAGGUUAUUUUUACCCAGCGCAAGUCUGUUGGGCCUGUGACAGGGAUCAUAGCACUGCAAAUGGUAAAAAUCUGAAUUUCUGCAAGAAGCCUUCCCUUAAAGCCAUCACUCUAUGUUCUUAUGGACUUGUCAGCUCCUUUUAGCAUUGGAUGACAAUUAAGCUGAUGUGAAACUUUCCAAAACACAUAAGGCUAUUUCUGAGCUCUGAGGAGAAAUGCAAAUGCUACUGAAAAAUUAUAUUUUGAUUACAGAUGAAGAUAGUGAAGAAGCAUUCCAACAGAAGUUGGAGGCCUUAUGUAUACUGACGGCAGUCCUGGAGAGCAAUCCAGCUUUGCUCGAGUGGGAUACACAUGCAGCUUUUAAUCAGAAAUGACAGCUAUAAAGCGGCACUAUGUGCAGUACCUCUGAGACCUGUACCCUUGCAUGGAGGAGGAGCCAAACUUGUAAUCCCAUCAAAGAAUGAGACUUCUUUGACUCUGCAGGAACUGCUUAUGGAAAAUUGGCUACAAAGACAUCUGGAACAGCUCUUCUGCUCGAGAAUUAAAACAAUGUGGAAAACAAUGUGGGUGGAAGCCUUUUGUUCUUUCUCACCAUUGGUUGUGACUGAUUAUCACCACUUUAGAGGAAUGCCAAAAUGCAAGAACAGGAGUUACCAGUCAGUCAUCACAAGUCAAAUUCAUUUCUUUGUAAAGAAGAGGAACUGUUUCAAGUAAAGACUUUGAUGCCAAAAUGGAAGUAACAGGUUCAGGACACCUAGAGACAAAUGAUGUGGAAAAAGGCCUCUGUGUCCCUACUGGCACUGACUGUACAAGUAGAAAGAUACCUAGACAGAAGCUCUUGGCACCAGUCAGAUGAGAGCUGGGGGUUCCUGUAGAGACCAGCAUGAGAACUGACAGCUCCUGAGGGUGCCCAGGCAGACACUGUGUUGUGGGAGAGUGCUGCUGAUCUCCUCAGUUGGUUUCGUAAUGGCAGGAAGAACAGCAGUGUAAGAAGCUUUAAUAACAAUGAAUACCUACUUUUUUCCCUGACCAGUAGAGUCUGUUAUCCUUUUGAUCCAGAGACAAGAAACAAGGAAUGGAAAUGAAAAGAGGGAGGAACAGACAGG